UCUGUAAAAGACAGUGCUUAUGAAGUCUUUCAGCUGGAUACACAGUUUUGCAACUAUUCGAAUUACAGCUGCUUACAACAAUGUUCAAAUGAGCAAAUACAAUCCCUCACACAUUCAUUUUCCUAGCAAACACUUUCCUACAUACUCUCCUACAGUUCUCAGAAUGGUGUACAGCAACCUACAGAAGCCCCUUCCACUUUCUGCAGACAAACACACCAUCACAGGUUGUUCCUUUACACCUUAUUCCAAAUCUCGAACAUUUCUUCCAUGACAACUGACUCACUGCUGCUCACAUCCUGUACAAUGCUGAGGUACAACCAUCCAAAACAUGCCAAGGGCAGACAGACCUCUUAGUACACCAAGCAAACUGCAACAGCCAAAUCCUUACUCUGCUGUCACUCAACCAACCAAAUUUGUAUCUGCUUUCUCACAUUUCCUGGCACAAGAUGCUCACAGUUGAGCAAAUAUCGAUUACCUUCCAGUACUGAGCAGUCUGUGGGCAGAACAGAACUGUGGCUAGAAUGCCACAACAUCCACACUCAGCACUGCUGGGAACCUCAGACAUUAUCUUCAGUUACCCACAUUCAGUGAAAGUGAAUGGUGAUAUUCCUCGCCAGCCUCACUCAGGAACUUUCCAUCAGGUGUUACUGCUCUGAAUGACUGUUCUUGUCUUUCUUCUCUGCCAGAGUAAUGCUCCAAUACCAAACAUCUGAUACAAAACCAUCUGAUACAGAAUCAUCGAUUCCAGCACAAAAUCUGCUGUAUUUCACACCGGUCUUUUUCAUAACCUUAGUGACAAGUUUUUACAGCUGCUUUUUCUCCAGAUUGGCACAGAUGCCAAGCCCAGCUGAGGAGCACAGGAUGGCAACUGUUACCAUACAACCAAAGCUCUGAACCCAUGGAUGUACAAUUAAUUCCAUGCUUGACCCAUGCAACCCUAGAAGGGCUGAGAUGUUUCCUCUCAAGACAGCAGCUAGUCCAUGUGCAAGAGGAACCAAACCUUUUUAUCUAUCAGGUUACAAUAGAGCUGGGGGUAACCAGGGAUUCAUCCAUCGCUCAUGCUGAGCAUCGGACUGACUUUACUACUUGGUUAAAGAAUUACACGAGACUUCUCAAAUUUCAGUAAGUUCAAAAUACAGUUUGUCCUUGAAAGAUAUGACCCAUAACAGAAGAAGUUCAGAGUAGUUGGCAGUAAUGCUCUACUUUUGCUGUUUUGUAGCCAUGUACUCACGGCCAGAACAGGAAACAAAUGAACUGAGUCGAUAUAAGAAAAUAACUGCAGCUUCCUUCUUUGACACAUCCAUCUCUUUCAAUCCAUGUUAGGAGCACAUCUUACACUGUUAGAAGGACAGUGACUUUUGAGAAGAUGAAAUGGCUUUUCUUGACAGCUGUUUUGCAGAAGAAAAGCUUUGUUAUCUUUGUCAUCAAACAAAGUCAGUGCCAGGAAAUAAACCACAGUCCCACUGAACUUCUAAGAGCUUCCAUGGCAGUUACUCAUCUCCUACAAGAAAAACAAUCACAGAGACAGGAUCCAGAUCUUGACUUACCCAAACAUAGAAGUCUACAGAUAAAGACCUUUGGUUUAACCUCAUCACAAAUAGACUGUUGCAUUUGACAGCCCAGAUAUGCACACAACUCAUAAAUUCUGCACCAGUGGAGGUGACCACUAUCAGCAUUGCUCAAACGCAGCACCCAUGCCUCCCUGUGCCAGCAUCCAAUGGUGGGUCUCCAUGAACUUCCAGCAAGCAUCAAUGAAUGUCAAUAGGAAUGUCUAUUUUCUUCAUGGGGGAAUGCGAUUCCUCACCUUCACUCCAUACACACUUCCAUGACAGACUGCCCCUCUGCUGCCAGCUGUCACACAGCAACAAAAUGGAAUGGGACACAGGUGGGAAGGUUCAGCCCCUACUGCCACACCACUAAUAUCUGCCUCUGACAUCACAAAAUAGGAGGCAUUACUUUCAGAGCAGCCCUCAAACCAAUACAGAAAGAACUGAUAACCUUCUGCCUAGAGAGACUCCAGGGAUCUGUUCAAACUAAUAUCUGAACUCCUGUCACUGUCUGGGGGGUCACUACACUCAUCUUGUGAGACGUAAGCAAGCUGCCACAAUGAUUAAAGGGCCCAGAACACACACACAAAGAUUGUUUUCUGUGGUCUUGAUGAGUAAUACCACACUUGCCAUGUUUCCAAGCAAGGAGCCCCACACAUUUGAGGAGCUAAAGUUUAUGUAUGCCUCAAUUAAGGUAUUACUGGUUUUUGUUUGUUUUUAAGAUACUUUAUUUUAUAUUAAAAUAUAUUCUUCACAUUCACUGAGCUAUAAACGACACUGAUCUGUGGCAUUUGUGUCCUUUCACCUUUUCCUGGAAAGUAUGUUGACUAAAAGCCAAACAAACAGCGCAGCACAUUGACUGCUUCAUAGACAAACACUGCAGUCGUUUUGCUCAGGACAAAUAUUUUUAAAGAAAUAAAAUGAAAUUGUAAACGUUCAAUUAAAAAAAGAGAGAAAGAAAGAAAUGUCAGCAUUUGUGCAUUCACCUUAUUAGCAGUUUAUACUCUGUUUGCGAAAACAACAAGGUUUUUUCUUAUGUACUAGUCCUAAAAUUCCAACCACAUAACAGUCUCUCUCUGGAGAUUGCUCCUUUGUGGAGUUUACUGCAAGCCUUCAACACUGGUGAGCAUUUCCAUUUAUUAUCGAUUAUCUUUCACAAUAAUCUUACUUAACCAAACAUAUGUUUAACCUCUGUUUACUUAUUGAUUGUACACCAGCCAAUGAAAGGAGUUACAGGAAAAGCAGGAAACUUCAUCCACUCUAUGACUUACCACCAGUUCACUUUUAUUAUGCUGUUAACACAGCAUUAGAAUUUGCACAUAAAGAGAAAAAUGGGCUGUGGAAGAACACUCUGAAAGUUCGUUAAAGACAUAAGGCUACAAAAAGGAAAACAUUUUUCAUGUCGCUGCUAUAGUUCUUUGAAUGCUCUAACAUUAAGUUUGUUGUUGCUGGCAUUACAUUCCAAAAUAAAUGUUUAUGUCAAAUUGAACUACUGAAACGUUAAAGGGUUUCAGUGAGCAAGAAAACACCUUUCAGCACGCAUACUGAUUUUGAUCUACCUGAUCUCUCCAAACAGCCAAUACUGCAGACACAUCUUUCCUCAAGAACUGCAAACAUACCAGUUAAGGAAGCUGCCCACUGAAGACCAUUAGAAGACACACCUUCAUUGCUUUUAUGGAUGCUCCUUGUGUUCUCCAACCAGACUUUCACCUAGCAGCAAUUUCAUCCUCACUGAUGAACAAAAGCCUCUAUUUAAAAGGAGAACAUGGACUGCAAAAGAUGACAAUGGCCAGAAGAGAAAAUGCACGUGCAUUCUGCAUUACCUGAAGCAAUACAGGAGCUGAAGUUUUUGUCAUGCAGUGCUAACCUAAUUUGGAAGUAUUAGAAACAAACAACAGCAACAAAAAUAAAACACAGAAAAACAUUUACAAGAAAGUAGCAGUGAUAUUUCAGUGUGAAGCACAGCCUAGAAAGUCCCAGAUAAAGAGAACACCCGGAGAAUAUUCAUCUGCAAAGUGAGUCUUUCAGCAUGAUUUCAUUUUAAUGUUUACUUGCCUAUAUGACGAACUUGUUGCUAUAUGAUUUAAAUCAUAUUAUUGCCUAUUUGAUUUAAACUUGACAAGAAUAUUUCAAAAGUUAUUUCAGUUUCAAAAAUGCUUAGUCUACCUUGAACACAAUGCAUUUGAUUCUGUUUACAGUGCUGUUUCUGUUUGAAUUCAACAUCAUUUGGCAUGUGGUUAACACUGCAUUCUCUGUAACUGUCAGUUAUGGAAAACAGAAAGGAAGAAAGAGGAACAAGUAAUGUGGAAGAGCCCACUAAAACCCUACAGUCCUUGUGGAUGUACUCAGUAGCAGACAUAGUACUUACUGCCCACCGAUACGGUUUUCAGAUUUUUGAUAAAUUGUACCCCUUAACAGAAAGCUACAAUAAGGAAAUACAGGCCCUGUUUUCAUUCUACUUACACCGAUGCUAUAAGAAAGGACACUUCAAGUACUGGUAUUUUAGACCAUAGAUUCUGAAAAACAAGUGAAACUGAGCUGCUCAGUAGCUCCAGUGAACAGGACUUUCACCAUGGGAAUUGGCCAUCAGCAGAUAUGAUCGGUCUUGACCUGGAAAGGUGACUAGCACAACCAGCCAGUGCAGCUGAGUGCCCUGAACAUUCUGAAUGGCACAAAGCAUAUUAGCACUUGUAAAUGAAAGUAAACUCUAUUUUUUCACAGAGAAGAUAAUGACUUCACAAGCUACAGGGGCUCAGUUACUUGUUCUGUCUCACCUACAGUUCUAUCAAAAUUCUGUGUCUGUACAGCAUUGGAAAACAUGGCAUUUCCUUAGCUGUAUUGCAGGCAAAAAGAGACCCCCUGCAACUAUCAAUUCUAAGGUAGCUCUCUGUAAUCAGAGUGAAUUAAAUUACACCUUGAAUGAAUCAACACAGCACAAGUUAAGAAGUGGCAAGGCAUGCAAGCAGAGACUUGCACUUUCAAGGAACAAGAACUGGCAGAAUCAGGCACAAAGAUGCAUUUACAAUAAGCUGUACUCAUACUACAGUUUAUCUGCUCCAAAGAAGUAAAAGUUUGAUAGCACCAAAGCAGAAGAGAAACAAACGCUUGUAGACUGCAGCAGGGCAGCCUGAGAUCUCAUGGCAGCUUAUAAACCAAAAACACUGGUAGGACUUCCUGUUCAUUUACUUUAAAAAUAUAACACAACCACAGUAUUCUAGGUUUACAGGGCGAACCAUUUUACAGCUUGUUGCUUUCAACAUUAAAAUCCACCUACAUGUACCCCAAAUAAAGAGACAGUGGUUACACGUAAAAACGUUUUCCACUUCUUUUCUUUUUGGGACAGAAAUAUUCAGAAUAUCCUUGGUUGCUUUCUAUAUCUCUCCCAUUACUUGUGUGAAGUUUACUAACUCAUGUCUUUUCUACUAAUUUAGUUUAGGGAGAUUUGGGAGAAAAGUCACAUUAAUAUUAGUUCUAAACAAAAGCAUCAAACUUCAUUGUUUGAAGAAUUGUGAACAGUUACAGUAUUUCUCUUGCAGGUCUCAAACUGCACUUAACUGUAACAUACGUCAGUUUUCCACGGGGGGGCACAGCAACAGAGCCAGUACAGCGCCCAAUAUUCCCCAUUCUGAACAGACCUGGAAAUCUAAAUGACAAUCAGUUCUUUCUUAUUUUGCAAUCUACAGCACAAAUUCUGCACCCUUCACGUGGAAAACUAACGUCGAGAAAAUGUCAUAGAUGCUUCAGUGAAAACCAACAGUAUCAAGUUAGUGCAGGUUGCAGUGUCUGCUUUGCAUGGGAUUCCUAGCUGAACGCUGAAUAAUUCACAGAUCUCUUUAAUGUUAUUAACACAUCAGACUUAAUAUCAUUAGCCAACAUACUAACAUCAACCUACCAGGUUUAUGUAAACACAAGAAGCAAUUUAACCUGUAUUUGAGGUUUGUGUUUUUAAGAUAGUAUCUCAUUCUACCAACGUGUGUAAGGAGUUAGAAAUCAAAAUUAUUGAAGACUUCUACAUAUAGAAUUACCAUUAAAAUUUGGUACUGAAUUCACUACGUCAAGUGAAAACCUGUAUCCCCCCUCUUUCAGUUUAAAACCAUUCCCCCUUAGCCUAUCACUAUCCACCCCAGUAAAAAGUCGUCCUCCAUCCUGUUUCUAAGCUCCCCUCAAGUGCUGGAAGGCUGCAAUGAAAUUUCUCCUGAACCUUCUUUUCGUAGCUUUCGGCUCCUGCUUUUUGUUGUGACAUCUCCAGAGUGAAUGCAUUUCAAUCCUCCUGGUACUCCCAUUCUUUCAGAACCGGGUGAUUAUUGCAGCUGAACACAGCUUCCUCUUGGACAAAAAAAAAAGAAGCUUGGAAAAUGUUAUGCCUUCAAAGUCAUGUGGCAUCCACACAGACCUCCUUACAGCCACCCCUGCAGUCAGAUUCACCUCCCUGUUGUGUUCCUAAUGCCUCCUCUAAAAGUCAGCUGUAUCUCUAGAUCAAUGAUAUAGCCCAGAAACAAGAGGAAGCGAUUCUGAUAGUAAACCGUGUGAUGUUUCAUUCAGAACAUUGGUGAACACAUCUGGAUUUUAGCAAUCAUGAUCCUACCACCUACACAGUAGAAGUACAUGGUAUAAUUAACCCGGAGAAAGACUCUUUAGAAAGAAGAGACUGUGCCAGUAAGAAACAUUAUUCCACUUAACUCCAUUCUUCAGGCAAAGAUUGGUAUUUGUUGGAAAACUGCAUUGAUCAUGUCACUGCCAAGACAUCACAAGCAUGGAUUACAGCGAGGUACGCUGUUCUAGAUGUAUAUGAUCUGCCACCAUGUCACUUAAAACAGCUGAUACUGAAAAGAAGGAUGCAGUAGAAACUGAGUUAUGUGAUGCAGAAGCACAUACUUACUAACCGUAAAAUACAAGCAAGAAACCUUAAAAUACAAGCUUCUCAUGCCUGUCUACAACUGGAAGCAAAUCACUUCAUCUUGUUACUUUUAAUUUGAAUAUCAGUCCUCAGUCAAACCUCACUCUGUGACAGUCUGAGCAGAGACUGCGUCACAUCAUUCAGAGAAAGCAGGAAAAAAUAUACCAAAUGCUGCACUGGAAACAUGCCACAGCCCUCGUUCCUUAUUAACCUCACAGCUCCUUAUGGAUUCCACCUCAGUAAUUAAACUGCACCCCUGGAAGUUGACCACCUCCAUUACAGCGCUGCUACUCAACAUCAUUUCCUGAGCGCUCAGCCUGCAACAGACCAAAAUACCAAGAGAAGUUUAACAAAAACACAUCAUCAUACGAGCACAUGACUUCCAACCAAUACAGAGUUAGCGAGCACUGAGGCUCUGCAGGAAAUGAAAUCCUCUGCCAAAAAAAAUGACUUCUCUGAAAAAGAUAAUCAAGAUUUCAUAAGAAAAAUGUCUAUUUUCCCACUGCCAACCAACAGGAGAUGCCCAUCCUGCAAGCUGGUGCUUUCACAGCUCACAUGCUGCUGUUGUGAAGCUGGAGCUCGUUUAUUUCACUUUCAUAAAAACUCAUUUUUUGCCCUUUUUCUAAUGUCCGCUGUCUGAUGUGACUGAGCACAUCACAGUAUCACACACAGCUGCAGCUCCCCUCACACCUCCGGGAUAAACACACAGAGCUCUUUGGAGGCAGAAGACCUGCUCACAGCUGUGUGUGUUAACCUGGAUCCACCUUGCCAGCAUCCUCAGAAUCAUCCGUGUUUGCAAUAACAACACCAGAACUUGGCUCGUUACAAAGUAAUAACAAAUGCCACAAUAUAACUGCACGAGCGUCACCAGCCAGCUGCUCCUCGGAUCCGCUCUAUCGCUACGGACCGAGCUCAAUGACAGCCGGGACCCGCUGCUCACAAUGGGACCGGCAGCUCCAAAGGCCGAGAGCGGCCGCGACGCGGAGGGACGAUGCCGGCAGCCGGCGGGGAGAGCGGCGGGGCCUGGGCUGCACCGAGCCACCCUGAGCGCCGCGAGGAAAGGGAAGGAGGGAACGGCGAGUGAUCCAGCACGGACAGGAGGAACGGAAAGUCGCGACAUGGGCGAUGGCAGCGGAACGAAACGGAACGAAACGGAACGAAACGGAACGAAGGCAGCGGAACACAACGGAACGCAGCGGAACGCAGCGCCGCCCGCCUGGAGCUCCGGCCGGGGCAGGCGCUGGGGGAGCGGAGCCGGCGGCAGCGGAGAACGGCCGCGAGCAGAGCGCUCCUCAUCGCCGGGUCAGAGCGGGGCCGGGCGGCCGCCCCUCACCUGGUAGAUGGCGGCCCAGCUGGCGGCCUGGUCGAGCCGGUGGAACUCCUUCUCCAUCUCCAUGGCCGGAACAACGCGCCCGGCCUGGCCCCGCUGCUCCGGCUCCAGCUGCUGCUGCCUCGGCCCGGGCUGCCCGCUCCGCAUCUCACCCCGCCCUGCUGGGCCGGAACUACGCAGCCCGACACCAGACGCGACGUCCGGGGCGGCCGCAGCCGCGGGGUUGGAGGGGGAGCGAGAUGUGUUGGUUUGGAGCCGGGAAAUGAGUUACUGAGCUUAGGAACGUUAAAGCUUUAGUUUGCAUUUCUGAUAAAAUUCAGCAUUGUGAGAUUACCUGCGUUAAAUCAGCCAACAUCAUGAAUAGCAAUCCAGCUGCCUGCAAAUACGAUCCAUGCUGCUGCUGUGCUGUCUGAGUGCAGCUCUGUAGUCACUAAGCCAGCUGUAGCAGGCGGCAUCUCCAGCGUCCAACUGCUGUUAACUUGCUAUUAACAGUCACCACACCUAAUGCUACUGACUGUACGUAUCUGUGCCAUUAGUCUACGUUAACAUCCCCUUUCUUGAGCAGAACUGUAACAUUUUGUUAUACAGAGCUGAUCUUCCAGCGUGUCCUUUUGCUGUUACACCUCAGGCAUUCCUAGUUCUGAUUCUCUGUUUGGUUUUGGUUCAGCAUUUGGGGUUGUUCAUAUGGAAGGUUCAUUUGUCUUCAUUUUGGUUUUUGCUAACAGUGCAUCAUGUAAGACUCAACAAUUCAACUAUUAGCCCUGGGUUACACUGAAGAAUCUGUUGGGGAGCACUUCUGGCCUCUUUUUGGUGAGGAUAGCUCUCCAAAACACGUUCGAGGUGAUGGCAUUGCUUCAUUGCUGAGUAAGCCCUCCUGUGGUUUCUAAUCCAGGUGAAGCAGGCGGUCCACUUGGCCUCACCUCCUCGUGAGAACAGACAAUACCCUGCAGGCUGUGCUGAAGAGGAAACAAACAGAGGACCCUCAGAGUACAGGGGUGUAAGAAAGCAAGUGGCAGUUUGUCAGUGUACGGCAGCACAUUUCAUCCAACACACAAAUACCAAUCUCUGCUCCAGGGCACUUCAGGGCUAUGACUGUGGGAAAUGGCAUCAAUCCCUGGCUGCUGCAGGAUCACAGCAUUUUCACUGCAGUGAUGCAUCUCAUGCAGGGCCAUGCAAACCCAAGCCCUUGAUGGAAGGAGUGCUGUGCAACAGCAAGACACGUGGGUUUAGUAGCCUAUGGAUAUAACAUGUGGCACAGGGAGAAUCUAUAUCCUCAGAGAGACAGAGAAAGGGACUGGCAUGGAAGUGGUGUGGAUUGCCAUGUGCUGGGUUGCCCAAUCAGCUAGAGAACAGCUGCAGCCACAAGAGGCUGGUUUCACUGUGCAGCUGUGGCCCUGUAGAGAUCAAGGCCACAACGUGAGUGGUUUCACAUGGUGAAAAGGGAUCAGGAGCAAAAGAAGCUGCAGACUGGAAACUGAACGUUGGUGGUAGUAGUGAAAAGGAGGUGCAAAUGGAAAAAUAGAUAUAUGUUUCUGAUGGUAUAAAAAAUCUAAACAUUUUACUAAGAGCACAGAUUUCCUGAUGUGUGGUUAUGUUCUCAUACAGCUCAUCAGGUGACAUAUUUUCCAUGUUAAUAGUUUGGAUGUCACCAUCUGCUUGCUAUGACUUUGAGUGCCAUCGUGUUCACCUCUGCUUCAGAGCUGGGGUGGUCAUGGGUCUGUGUCUCAUCUGCCAUGUGACUGUGGUAGAUUUGUCACCAUGGCCAGCGUAAUCUUGAGUUUCAGAGAGAUAAGUUUAGAGUGUGAGAACAUGAUUCACACAUCAACAGAGCUCUGUAGCUUCCAACCGUAACCCAGCUCAUCGCAUGGCUCUUAGCAGUUCUCAACCCUAACCUGGCCCUAAAAUGGUUUAUAAUAAAGAAGAUAUUGAACAAUAAAAACUCAUGUAGCAAUAAGAAACAUAUGCUUCAUUAAUUAAUUAAUAUGCUGAGUAGUGGUCUCAUGCUUAGGCUGUCUCUUUCUCAAUUUGGCCCUGUGUGGAAGGGUCCAUCUUUGCCCCAUCCAAUCAAGUAAGUUCUGUUCUAUUUUCCUUUGGUAUGGGGUCUUAAGGCUGUUUUUGAAAACUGCUUUAAUUUUCAGUUUUUUAUUAAGAAUUGAGUCACUUUAUACACUAUUUCUUUCCAUUCUUAAUUGUGAAUAUGCACUUUUCCCAGUGGCAACGUAUUUCUAUGCUCCUGCAUGGGAAAUCAGCUUGGCUGGUUUUAUACAUUUUCUCAGUGAAUUCUAAACUAUCUCCUCAAGACAAAAUAGUACAAAUGGUAAAAAAAUGUGCAUCUUAUGCCACAAUCUAGUGGUGACUGGGAUAGAACAGGUAGUAGAAAUGAACUGAUUGGACAUUCUAUGAGAAGGUCUGAGUUAGGGAUUUAUAAUUUCAUUUGAAAUUGGUGGGGAAAAUACACACAAUUAAUGCUGGGUUUGAUUCCACAGACUCCAUGCUUCUGCCCCUCACAGUAGAGUCAAAGGUCUUAAAUAUAUUCCAGUAGAGAAUGUGGGCCAAAAUUGACCACUUAGAUCGGAGGACUGUCCUCUAUGAAUGUAUGCAACCACUUAAUAGAUAUUUAGGCCUCAAAUUGCACUCUGCACCGCAGAGCAUUUCCUAACAGUCUGUACGGAACCUAAAAUCUACCUUACUAAAUACUAAAAGUUGCAAAAUCUGCGUAGCAUUGCAGGAAAAAGGCGGAGGAGAUUAAAAGCAUUACUAGUGAUUAGAUCCUUGUAAUAAUGCUAAUAAUGGAGGAUUGAGUAACUGAAAAUGUGGUUUAAGGGCAGAACACUUUUUGCACUUUUAGAGUGGAAGGCAAUCCCUUGCCAAAAUCAUUCUGCCCUAGGAAACAUUGGAUCCUCGUCCCACUAUAUUCAGAGCACAUACCCUUUUCAAAGUACAUUAGUUUAGCUGGCUGCACCAGCAUUAAGGAAUGAUCUGCCAAAGUUCUGUCUAGAAAGGAAAGGACCAUCUACCUCGUAUCUAUAGAUGGGCGUUUCAGCUGCCAGUGAUGCUAAAAGGUGCAUAUGGGGAAUGUGCAGAACAUAUGCUCAUGUGCUCUUUUUACUGUUUCUGACACAUUUUGGCCUUCGUGGUUUUUCUGGAUGUGUUUAAGGCAACCGUGCUGUGGCAGAAGCCCAUAGAGGUGGCUUCUAAAGAGCAAUUUACCACUAGAUGGCAAUGUAGUCCUUAGUGCUCAUCGGAAUCACGGCUUUGAAAGAACGUUUUACUGGUAAGAAUUUUCGGUCAAGCAGUAAUUAAUAGGGAAAUAGUUUCUGGAAAGACAUUUUAUGGCUAAUGCUGAUAAAAUAAAGUUGCACUUGCAGCGUUAACUCUAUUUUUGAGGCAGUAGGUAUUAGGAAGUCUGUUCAAGUCUUGCCAGGUUGCUUAGCUUUCUAGAUAUAAAUAUAAAAAUGUAAUUGAUGCCGUCACACUCAGGUACAGUGUGUGCUUUCCUAGAAUGAAAAAUGCUAUCGGUACAUUUUUUGAUUAUCGAGUAUUUUAUCCCAGGCUUUUACUUGCUGUUUUAUGAUUAAUUUUGUGUUUGUAUUAAUGAGAAUAAAGCUUUCAGUGAACUUCCUUUUAAUAAUCCUUUCUUUUUCUUUACAGUAGAGAUAGAAAAUCCGAGUUUGGAGUCACCUUCACUUCAAUAUUCUAGAGCUGCAGAAUGAAUGAGUAUUUAAGUCUGGCCUUAAUACUUGUUGGUUUGAAAGCAGAAUAAUUUUCACCACAAACAGAAGGUGCAAGUGUUCAAGGAACUGUCUGCAGUUAAUUCAAAGCUGUGACUGCUGUUUGUACAUAUAGAAGACCCUUGAAGAAUCCACUGCUUGAAAUGUGGCUGCCUGUCUGUGCUCCUGCUCUGCUCCUUCUUGGGAAAAAAGAUGGGAAGGUCCAGAGUUUGUUCCAGACUGGAAUCCAGCGACACGCCUGGAGUUCACAAUUUUUCUCAGAGCUUUUUACUGUCCAGCCUGAAGUGUACAAAUAAUAGUUUAAAUACAAUAGCUUUUAGUGCUUUUAGCCUUUGAAUACCAUUCAUCUUCGUUUUACUCUGCCUUUUCUGGGACAUGUGCGUAUCAUGUUUGUCCCACAUCUGUUACCCAGAUGAACAAUGCCAUGGGAUGGAUGCAUGACUCACCUAAUGGCUUGAAAUCCUGGCACCGUAUCAUUGGCUGUAUACACUCGAAAUCAAAAAACGUGUCUUUGAACAAUAAAAUGUUUGGGGCUCGUUUGCCUGUGUUUAGGUUUGCUGUACACUGCACACAUAUUGACCCCAACUAAAUUACGAAGAAGAGAAGAUUCAUUAAAUAAGUUAUUAAAACUACCACAGAACUUGUUAAAUGAAUGACUGUACAAACAGUGGAGUUUUUUCUAGAGGAAAUCUAGAUUUCUCCCAGACAAAAUCCAGCUGAGAUAAGAAUUGUUCAUUGGAUCUUCAAAGCCCAAAGGAUUGUGGGAAAUAUUAAAUUGAAUAAGUUUCAUGAAUUGUUAAUUUUAUUUUUCACUUCUGUGAAGCAGCUCAUAUCAGUGUAGAGCCAGGCAUGGGAGAACUAUGGCUACGUACGACUGAAAACAUUACUGUUGCCUAAACACUGGUUAUAAUAAUAAAACUCUGGUGAAGUGGAAGUAGCCCAAUAUCCGAUUAUCUAAUGUCUCUAUCAAUACAGGGCAGUUACUUGGUUAUGUGUAACAGUUUUAAUUCUUGCUAUCUACAUACCUAGUAAUCUCAAUAUCUUCUUUAUAUAUCCUUAGCAGUAGUUCAGAAAUGCAUUUUUUCCCCAGCACAUUGACUGUGAUGUGACUAUGAAAAGAGUGGAAAGAAGUGUUUGGUUUGCUGCUAAUUGGCCCCAUCUCCUUGUCUUAACCCACUCUCCCAGCUACCGCUGUAAGUUUCUACUUGUUGCUGUUUUUUUCCAUCUUUAAACUCUUGUCCCGGUGCCAGAACAUUAUGUUCCUGGUUAGAGCCGUGACGUCAAAUGGUAUCUGGCUCCAGGCCAAGGAAUGCUGCUGGGAAGGAGUGAAUGAAUGAAUGGAUUUUUCAAUUCACAUUGUAGUUGCCCCUUUCAGAGCCAGGAAUCUUCUUGCAAUAUUCAUUCAACCGGCUAAUGUAAAUGUUAUCGGUGUUUCCUUACUACGACUAGAGGGAAUUUCAGAGAGGAUUCAGGACUGGUGAUGGUCACUAUAACCAUAAUGGAAGAAAUAUAUGAAUCAGUGCAAGCUGCCUGCUCAAUAUAGUAGUAAAAAGAACCCCAUGCCUGCAGUAGUUACUAUUCAGUGUUCAGAAACUGAAAGGGGUGAAAAACACACGUGCUCACAUAGUUUGCAUUUCUAUCAAAAAUAACCCACCCUUAACUCAGCAUAGCAGUGCACUUCUUUUGUCUGUACAUUUGUAAAGCUGAGGUUUAAAAAUUCCAAUUCAAUUUGAGAUUUACCACUGUGAAUUAGAAAUUUGCAGGUACUGACAGUGUUUUGUUCCUGGGUUUUCACUCUGCUUUUUAAAUGAAAAUCUUCUCUUGGAACAUCUUCUCACCUGAAGGAUAACGUUCAUUUACUGCCUGCUCAUUUUCAUGAUUUUCUGAUUAACAAAUCAUUGCGAUAGGAACAACUGCGAUGACAUGCUCACCUUCAGCUUAAUCACACAGAUUUCUUUAAUAGCCUGAUGUAUGGAAAAUGUAAAUUGAAUGUGUAGAACAACCACAGUUUUAGCAGGAGAACCAGGCAGGCUCUUGAUUUUGUAAGGAACAAACUAGUGCACAUACAAGAGAUACACAGGUGAAGGAUCAGCAGUUAAAUUGCUGCCAAAGGGGAGGUGGUGCCAUGGUUACACCAGCUGGAGUCCAUUACAGGGCUUCUGCUAUAUGAAGCCAGGAACUCCUGAAUAAAGGAUCAACUAAGGGUUCUGGGCUCUUUUAUCAGGCACAGUGAAAAGAAGUUUAAGCAUUCCAGUCUUUAUACUUGUAAAUCUGCAAGCUCACAGAAUAUUAUGACAAUAAAUGUUUCAAUCUAUGUUGUAGCUAAAAGACACUGUACUCCAGAUUUUAAAAAUUCACAUUUCUAAAUGAAUUUUGCUAAUUGCUGCUACUCCUGGAUGAAUAUAAAGAUACACUUUCUACCAUACUUCCACGUGGUAGGAAACGGUGCUAGCCCUGUUUUGGUAUUCAGAAGAUGGGCAAGACAUUGUUUAAAUAGCAUCACCCUGUUACAGCAAAAUACCUGGGUUCUUAGAUGUAUCUACUAGCUCACUUGUCUUAAGGAAUUCAUGAUUCCCUGACUUACUGCUUAAAUUGGUUGCAUGAGAAACUGUUGAUCACAGCCUGAACCUCUGAUUAACCAUCUGGGGCAAUCAAUGAGUCAGCUGUGGGAGCACAGGUGAAGGUAAUUCAACUGUGCUACAGGAAGGGGGGAAGCUCUGCUCUGCCUCUCCUAGAUCUCAUCCAAGGGCUGACCACCACUAAAGCAGGAUCUUUUUCUGGAGAUGUUUCUAUGUGGAGUUUUGCAGUGAGCCUUGGAGUUGGAGAUCUGAACACUUCCAGGGGCUCAUGAAGGCAUCACAAAUGACAAAGUCAAUGAGCUGUACAUGGUGGAACUAUGCCACAGCAGCCUCACCUGAAAUGAAGUAGCAGCAGGGGCAAUGACUUACAAUCCAAGAAUUUCCCAUGGAGAAGCCACUAUCUGCAAUAUGGGUUUUGCAGAUCUAAGGUCUUACCAGUGAAGACAAAUUACAAAAGGAAUUUGCCAGCAGUGACUCAUACAUUUGUGGCUACAUUUCAUCAAUGACCAGCAUGAUUCCAGAUAAACUGCAGAGCCAGCUGCAAUGCAAUCCAGCAGCACAGCAAACAUAACUAGUCUGGAGAAAUGCAACCAGCUGCUGGGGCCUACAGUAAAGCUGUUCUGAGAUCAGUAGGCAAAUGCUUUGUGUCAAUAAUAACCUGUGAAAAUAAAUAGAUAUUAUCAGCUGCAGUUUACAGUUGUUGACAUACACAUCUGUUGCCUCUGACUCAGCAAAUAAUAAAUGUAGUUGCAAUGCAACUUAAGAAAAGUCUCACACUGAAACCAGAAAGAACAGCUAUUGGCAAUUCCUGCCAGCAUCUGAGAAGAGGAAAGGAGCUUCUAAGGGAGAAAUAUAGCUGAAGGGAAAGCCUGAAUUUAGAAGAGUUUUCAGUGUUCAGUAAGAAAAAUAUAAAAUGCUGAGUCAACAGUGAAUAUAUCUGAGAGAUUAAUGAUGAGUAUAGAGCAGACAUGAGGGCAUCCUCUUGUUGCAGUAUGGGAACUCUGGAAGCAGAAGGAGACAUUAGGACAAAAGCUGUGAUUGUGAGGAAGCCAAAUAUGAUGCUCGUGCUGCACAGUCUGCUGAGUGGUAGCAGACAUGAAACCCAUGUAGGUAUGAGCAGAGAGAACUUGGAAAGGUUUUCUACAAUAACAAAACUUUUUAAUAACGAUCAUGCAAACAAAUAGCAGGAGAGAACCAACUGGACCACAUGGAACAGGACAGAGGUACUGAUUAGAGUAAAAACACAUGCUGCAUCACUAACAGAAACAAGGAGGGAGAGGCUGAUCUGAAGAGCAUCAUCCUUCCAACUUGCAGCCCAGCAUUACUCUGAGUUGUUGUGGGUUUUUUUGUUUGUUUCUGAAGUUGGUGCUUAAACAAAAUUUGGGACAGUGUAAUUUCUCAAGAUGAAUCUGAACUGGGAGGGCUGAGCACAUGUGGGAGGGAAGAGUUUGCAGCAGAGCAUUGGCCAGUUGGCAGCUGAAAGGAGCCACACGAUGGCAGAACCUCUGGAAGCUGCUCUCUCCACAUAAAGAGCCAGCUAGGUUUGCAAACAAGGGAUCAUUUCAGGACAUAGCAUAAAGCAGAGAAAACAUUGACUUUUCACAAUAGUUCAGAUGAAAGCACAUCUUUAAUACCAAAUACAUAUUGUUAGUGCUGUGGACUGCGGAGAAACUGGAACACUGGUUUAGAACUGAAAUGUUAAAAAGGCACAGGAAACCUGUCACUUGCAAUUAAAUUAUUAUAUCUGGCCUUGCGAAGUUUCCUGUAGUGCUUUAGAGCUAACAAUAAAAUUUAGAUUUUAUGCAAAAGAGAAACCAAGGAGUUAAUAAUUAUGUAGAAAGCUGUACACAUCAGAGUCCUGACAGCUUAAUUGCUAUGCUGACAGCGUUUGCUGUUUCAGGGAUCUAAUGGUAUUUUCAUCUGUAAAGACUGUGCUGAGUUACUGCAAUGGCUGGGAUGCAGACACACCUCAUUAAUGCACCUGCUGACAGAGGGAACACGUGGGUGGCUCUCUCAGGCAAUGAGAAGCAGGUUAAAGCACCUGUCAGGCAGUCUGGGCAUCCCCCUGGGUGAGAAGGGAUCAAGCCCACAUUUAUGGGUGUUUGAGAAAAGAGGACAGAAUAAAUGGUAGUUGGUUUAGUUUUAUCUGGUACUUAUUUUGCAGUUCACCAAGAACAUCAGUUGAGCUAAUAGCAUACUAGUCCUUUCUAGUAAGCAUAAUGUGAAAUUUGAGCUAGUUUCAUUGUUAGUCUAUGUCACAAAAUAUACUAUUGAAAUCUGAUGCCAUCUAACAACAACCACCUUGUGCCAUUCAAGGGGAUGCCCCUUCCAUGCUGUGUGAGUGGGAUGUGGAUGUUAAGAUUUAUAUUUUCCUCUCUCUGGUUUUGUCAAAUAGGCUUUUUCCUCUGAAUAGCUCCACUAUGAUGCUUUCUGCCACCAGAAUUUCCUUUCUAAUUUAUUUCUUUUCAUUGCUGGACCAACUUCUAGGGAUACUGACAUAAGCAUUAUGUCAGUCCUUUUUGUUAUUGCAAACUACGUUGUGCUUCAGGUUACACAAUGAUAUGUAAACCACUGUGGCUGUUUCAUC